rnacentral:rRNA from 1 species
GACGAACGCUGGCGGCGUGCUUAACACAUGCAAGUCGAACGGAAAGGCCCUGCUUGUGUGGGGUGCUCGAGUGGCGAACGGGUGAGUAACACGUGAGUAACCUGCCCUUGACUUUGGGAUAACUUCAGGAAACUGGGGCUAAUACCGGAUAGGAGCUCCUGCUGCAUGGUGGGGGUUGGAAAGUUUCGGCGGUUGGGGAUGGACUCGCGGCUUAUCAGCUUGUUGGUGGGGUAGUGGCUUACCAAGGCUUUGACGGGUAGCCGGCCUGAGAGGGUGACCGGCCACAUUGGGACUGAGAUACGGACCAGACUCCAACGGGAGGCAGCAGUGGGGAAUAUUGUACAAUGGGCGGAAGCCUGAUGAAGCAACGCCGCGUGCGGGAUGACGGCCUUCGGGUUGUAAACAGCUUUAGCCUGUGACGAAGCGUGAGUGACGGUAAUGGGUAAAUAAGCACCGGCUAACUACGUG